rnacentral:rRNA from 1 species
UACGGAGGUGUCAAGCGUUGCUCGGAUUCAUUGGGCGUAAAGGGUGCGUAGGUGGCGCUGUAAGUCGGGUGUGAAAUUUCGGAGCUUAACUCCGAAACUGCAUUCGAUACUGCGGUGCUUGAGGACUGGAGAGGAGACUGGAAUUCAUGGUGUAGCAGUGAAAUGCGUAGAGAUUAUGAGGAAGACCAGUGGCGAAGGCGGGUCUCUGGACAGUUCCUGACACUGAGGCACGAAGGCCAGGGGAGCAAACGGG